GGAGAGACGCCGCUGAGCACUUACAGGCGAGUGGGGAUUAACCCUAUUCAUUGCCUCACGUGUGAGGCAAAAUUAUUUCCCUUAUCUUAUAUAUCCCCCCACUCUACUUAAUAAACCGACCAGCAGGGUACUAAUAAAAGAAAUAGCUAUUGCUAAAGCAUGUUUUUCUUUUAGAAGAAAACAAGUUCACGAUUUUGGUUUUAUCAGAACCCAACACCCCCUUAAGGGAGUGGGGUGGGUCUAAAGUAGCUAUUAAAAUUAUGGCUUGGAAAUGAAAUCUGAUUAAAAAAGCAGCCGCCCCAUUGCUUUACAAAGGCAUUUCAUUAAAAUAGUGCUCUUUCAGGUCAUUACUUGAGCUUUGUGUGCUGCUUUACUGAAGAUAGCUACUUAAAAUAUUACAGAUAUGAAAUGGAAAACUGUCUAACUUUUCAUUAUUUAAUAUUUGAACAACAAAUACAGGCCCCUACAAGGUAAAAGAUUUGCUUGCCCCAUUGGUAAAUGAUUAUUAUUUCUGUAGCACACUAGUACAAUGUCAUUUUUAUAACUUUUUCUCUUUUACUCUACUCUCUGCUACCUGGAAACUUGAGGAACGCUCAUGGUUUUCUCCUUGUCUUCAAGGCCAUCCAGCGACCAGGUCCUUGGUGAUAGUAUUGUCAAACAGCUCAGUUGGCUUUUGAGGAGAAUCCUGCUGUGUGCAUAUUCAAGCCACCUUUUUCCACCUUUGCUGGCCUGCAGUUUUCAGGAAAGCACCCAAAAUACUGAUGGAUGCCUGACAGGACCUAUAUUCUCUCUUGCCCACGACUGAAAAGC